GCAGACACAUUCCAGCCAAUCAGCAGCAGACCCUCCCUCCCAGACCCUCCCACUUCCUGGACAGCAUCCAUUUUGAAGCUGCAUUCUUAGUGAGCUGUCCAGGAGGUGGGAGGGUCUGGGAGGGAGGGUCUGCUGCUGAUUGGCUCGAAUGUGUCU